rnacentral:misc_RNA from 1 species
AUGAAUUAACGGCGAGGGUUGUCGCUGGCCUCUCGAGGCAUGUGCACGCCCGAGCCUAUAAUCCAACACACCUGUGAACCAAAUGUAGGCCUUCGGGCCUAUGUCUUUCAUAAACCCAAUCGUAUGUCUAUAGAAUGUAAUAUCAUUUGUUGCCUUAAAAACGCAAUCGAAAACAUAUA